UAACUGUAUAAUUAUUUAUUAUUUAUAUCAUUACAAAAAUGUAUCUAAAAGAUUCUAAUAUGGCAGAGUACUUUCACAAAAGGUAAAUAAUUUAAUAAAUCUAACAGAUCGUUCGCUAUGCGAGAGGGAUUCAAGCUUAUCUACAAGUAAAAUAAUUUAAAUGUGUCAAUUAUAACAGUUCUGCAUGCCAACUGUUGCGGUUUUUCGAGGACACUGCCGCCUCAGUCAUACUAUUGUAUAUUGUCUUCUUUUCACAAUUCGAGUAUUUAUCAUUUUAUAUCGUCAUUGACACGAUUGCCGUCUGUUCCAUCUUUUUAAGCAUACAAAUUCCAGUGGUUUUCUAUCAUUCGAGAAA